UAAGGAAUAUUGCUCAAUGGGAGAAAUCCUGAAGCAGCAACGCCGCGUGGAGGAUGAAGGGUCUAUGACUUGUAAACUUCUGUAAAGAAGGAAAAAAUUCCCAUUUGAUGGGAGAUGAUGGUACUUCUGGAGUAAGCCCCGGCUAACUACGUGCCAGCAGCCGCGGUAAUACGUAGGGGGCAAGCGCUGUCCGGAUUUACUGGGUGUAAAGGGUGCUCAGGCGGAUUUGUAAGUCAGAGGUGAAAUCUUACAGCUUAACUGUGAAACUGCCUUUGAUACUGCAAGCCUAGAGUAUGGAAGAGAGUGAUGGAAUAUCUGGUGUAGCAGUGAAAUGCGUAGAUAUCAGAUAGAACACCAAUGGCGAAGGCAGUCACUUGGUCCAUUACUGACGCUAAAGCACGAAAGCGUGGGUAGCAAACA
rnacentral:rRNA from 1 species